CAAGUGUCACCACCUACUGGUGUGCUUCUCUGUAUCGGAGGUGUUUACUGUGUUCAGGUGUUUUACCUGUUGUAGAGCAGAAUAUCUGGAGUCCAGACCUGAUCUGUGGUGAAGCGGAGGUUUUUCACGCCAGGGUGGUCGCUCUGGUUCCACUGCAGGUAGUGGUCGUACCAACUCUUUAAACCAACACAGACAGCCUGACUAUCUCGCUCUCGCUCGUCGCCUGUGGGGAAAGUUCACCCCAUCUGCCUCUCAGCUCUGUCAUCCGCCGUCAGCCCAAAACCUAUUCAGCUUCCCGGCUGCAGCAACAGGGAGGCGAGAUGCAAGAUGCUGAUCUGUAUGUGUCGUUAAACUGAUGGGCUUCUUCUGCAGGGGGGUUACCUUGAUCUGAGCGCAGAUUUGGACAGAAGGAAAAUGUUGGAGUAAUGAAAUAUUCUGACAACUCGGAUCGUUUUGCCUGCUGCAUCUGUCAUCGCGAUGUCAAUCUGCCUGGUUAAAAAAAAAAAGCCAUCCAGAGGCAGAACAUAUGUCUCCAGACAAACCAAACAAGAACACAUUAAUCUAAAAGAAACCCAUGGAUGUAAAUACACAAGCAAACAGCCAGAAUCCUGAAUGAACGAGGAGAAGAGAUGAAGUCAAGCUCACCGUUGAUCAAAGCGGAGAGUCCAGAGAGGAGAAGAGCCACAGAGUGCCACAUCCUGGUC